rnacentral:miRNA from 1 species
AAAUUGCUGAUGUUGUAUUA